rnacentral:misc_RNA from 1 species
GAUGAAGAACGUAGCGAAAUGCGAUAAGUAGUGUGAAUUGCAGAAUUCAGUGAAUCAUCGAAUCUUUGAACGCACAUUGCGCCCCUUGGUAUUCCAUGGGGCAUGCCUGUUCGAGCGUCAUUUGUACCUUCAAGCCUUGCUUGGUGUUGGGUGUUUGUCUCGCCUCUGCGCGCAGACUCGCCUCAAAACAAUUGGCAGCCGGCGUAUUGAUUUCGGAGCGCAGUACAUCUCGCGCUUUGCACUCAGAACGACGACGUUCAAAAGUACAUUUUUACACUCUUGACCUCGGAUCAGGUAGGGAUACCCGCUGAACUUAAGCAUAUCAAUAAGCGGAGGA